rnacentral:sRNA from 1 species
AAAAACUACAUAAAAAUUAGAGAGAACUCAAAGAAAGACAGGAAAAAUAAGAACAAUAAAAAAUCGA